UGUUUGCAAGUUAACCCUCCACCUCAAAUAAAUACACGUCAAUAUCACAAUCUCAAAAGUCACCCGCAAUAUAACCUAUAGACGUGUAUAAAUUUUGCAAACCGUAUAAGUCAGUAUAUAUGUUAUCAAAACUACGUCGUUUUGAACAUUUUUAUU
rnacentral:sRNA from 1 species